rnacentral:misc_RNA from 1 species
UGCAAAAGCAAGGUUAAGUUAGAGGUGUUGAGUCAUGUCGUGUCUUUGUUCUUUUUGGAUUUGUAAGUGUUGAGUGUUGUGGCUUUUAUAAAAUGAUUAUUUACUUGCUAGAAAAAAGCUCUUACGGCUGAAACUACUAGUGACCUUAAUACAGAUACAGAGGCGGGUAAUAAAAGACGUAGAAAGAAGAAAAUUAUAUCCUCUUCUUCUGAAUCUGAUGAAAAUGAUGAACCUACGGAACAUGCAUCAAAUAGGAAGUAAUUUAAAGUUACUAAAAUGCCUACCCCACCAAUUUGGACCAAUGACAUGGCUGAAAUGGUAGACGAGUUAACUGUUUCGAACACACCAAGUCAAACAGGCAAUAGUUCUACCCCUUGCUUUACCCCUGGUCAAGUUCAUCAUGAUCGUAACAUGGGUCCAGGUUCGAAAAGCAAUUACACCACACCAAAAAGGGCCUUGAAGGAAAUACAUGAGAACUUGAAUAAUGUUGUUGCUACAUCACAAAGCACGAGCUGCUGUUGCAAUCCACAACUACUCUAUAAUAUACAAUCAUUACUGAUUGAAAUUAACUCUAAAGUCGGAAAUUGUUGUCAGCGAAAUAUGUAAACUAAUGAAGAGUCUACAAAUAAUAUAUUGCAAAAAUCUGCAAUAAAGUUUCCAAUGGAAACAAAUGAGGAUCUGGAACUUUUUGAGAAUUUUUUCUCCAGUCCUGAAAAUUAUUCGGCAUUGAUUUUAUUUUUUUCCAAACUUGGUGGUAACAAUAUAUAUGAAUUCAUUAGGCGUUGCAUCGGGCCCCUUGUAACUGAUGGCCUGGCCAAACAAUUUUCCUUUACAGGAAACUGGAAGGAAAGGAAAACUGGUUUUUGAAAAAUUAAAUCUAGCUAAAUCUGUACUAGAAGCUGGGCAAAAGGCACAUGGGAUCAAUGGGAUCACCAGAAAGGAGAUUGAAAAAAAAAUUGGCGAUUGGCUACGAAGAGCCAAAGAAAGAGGAUUAAGAACAGAGAAAUUGAAUGUAUAAACAUCUUAUGUAACAUUUUUUACUAGGUAUCGGGAAAUAAAACAUUGUUAAACAAAUCAUAGCAUUGUGUAUCAGUUGCUAUACAGGGUGUAUCAACGAUGUGUGGGUGAGCGAUAGGUGCUUCCCUAUUUGAGAUAGGAAAAAAGCCUUAAAUAAAAGUUGUGGAGAUCAGUGAAAUCUAUGUUACAAAAAUAUUUACCCUUAUACAGGGUGUUGGAUAAAUGUGUGACUUAUCAAAGAUAUGUUUUUUUAAAUGGAACACCCUAUAUAUUUUUACUUUAAAAUCUUUUUAAUGAGUUGAUUUCAAUGGUACUUCACACUUACUAUCUAUUGUGAUUAGUUGAGGAUCUACAGCUACUGGAAAUUGUCAAUUUUUCAAAUUCAGGUGGCUGUAGUAGCUAAACCAGUAAAAAUUUUUAAAAACGGCUUUCAUGUCCCUGUCCUAACUUUUCAAGUUCUAUUGAGUGACAUGAAAAAUUAUUUAAUACAGUCAUUUAAUACAACAUGAAAGCCAUUUUUCGAAAUUUUGGACUGUUUAGCUACUACAGCCACCUGAAUUUGAAAAAUUGACCAUUUCCAGUGGCUGUAGGUCCUCAACUAAUCACAAAAGAUAGAAGUGUGAAGUACCAUUGAAAUCAGCUCAUUGAAAAGAUUUUAAAAAUAUAAAGAUAUAUAGGGUGUUCUAUUUAAAAAAACAUAUCUUUGAUAAGUCACACCUUUAUCCAACACCCUGUAUGAGGGUAAAUAUUUUUGUAACAUAGAUUUCAGUGAUCUCUACAAACUUUUAUUUAAGACAUUUUUUCCUAUCUCAAAUAGGGAAGCACUUAUCGCCCACCCACACAUCGUUGAUACACCCUGUAUGUACUUGUUUACCAAUGCUUUAUACAGUGUCUUCAUUUCAAAACUAGACAGUUCAAAUAUAUUUUGAUUGUAGUAAAAUGUAAAAAAAUUAAAAAAACACGUCAAAUUUUAUAUCAAGGGGGACACUUUUUUUUUCGUAAUUGCAGCAUCGAUACUUCAACCCUCGAGCAGUAGAGUGAACUCCUGAAAUCUAUAUAGGGAAAGUACCAAGUGUGCCAUAUUUUUGAAAAGGUAAUUAUAUGGGGAAUUCAGCAAUACCAAUAUUGUUGUGUCAAAUUCCGAUUUUAGCGCCCUCUUGAGGAAAAAAUAAUCGUUACGUAAUUCAAAUUGUGACACCUCAUUCGAAAGCUAUUUCUAUUGCUAAUUAAAUGCAAUAAAUAAUAUUAUCCUGAAAUCAUAUUUCAUAAGUGAAAUCACCUAAAAUAACAGACUUAGUAGGAUCACACUUUCCAAUCUCAUUUGAUUUCAAUUAUUAAAUAUGAAUUCAGGAUAAUUUUAUUUAUUGCAUUUAAUUAGCAAUAAAAAUAGCUUUGAAACGAGGUGUCACAAUUUGAAUUACGUAACGAUUAUUUUUUCCCCAAGAGGGCGCUAAAAUCGGAAUUUGACACAACAAUAUUGGUAUUGCUGAAUUCCCUAUAUAAUUACCUUUUCAAAAAUGUGGCACACUUGGUACUUUCCCUAUCUAAAUUUCAGGGGUUGUUCACUUCACUGUUCGAGGGUUGAAGUAUCGAUGCUGCAAUUGCGAAUAAAAAGUGUUCCCCUGGAUAUAAAAUUUGAUGUGUUUUUUAUUUUUUUUUACAUUUUACUACAAUCAAAAGAUAUUUGAACUAUCUAGUUUUGAAAUGAAGACCCUGUCAUUUCCGAUACCUAGAAGAAAAUAUGUGGCUUAAAGAAAAUGUUAUUAGUUUUUAAAUAAAUAGCUCUUUUAUUAAGAAAUA